CGGCCGUAAACGAUGCGCGUUAGGUGUAUCGACGACCACGAGUCGUCGAGGUGCCGAAGGGAAACCGUGAAACGUGCCGCCUGGGAAGUACGGUCGCAAGGCUGAAACUUAAAGGAAUUGGCGGGGGUCCGCACAAGCGGUGGAGCAUGUGGUUUAAUUCGAUGGUAACCGAAGAACCUUACCAGGGAUUGACAUGUAACUGAAGGUAGAGAAAUCUACUGGCCUGCUGCAAAGCGGGAGGUUACAGAGGUGGUGCAUGGCGUGUGACUGU
rnacentral:rRNA from 1 species